GAGGGUAUAGCUCAAGUGGUAGAGUGCAUGCACAUGCCUAGCAUGCAUGAGGUCCUGGGUUCAAUCCCCAGUAUCUCCA
rnacentral:tRNA from 1 species